UCGGCAGGCCUAACACAUGCAAGUCGAACGGUAACAGGAAGCAGCUUGCUGCUUUGCUGACGAGUGGCGGACGGGUGAGUAAUGUCUGGGAAACUGCCCGAUGGAGGGGGAUAACUACUGGAAACGGUAGCUAAUACCGCAUAACGUCGCAAGACCAAAGAGGGGGACCUUCGGGCCUCUUGCCAUCGGAUGUGCCCAGAUGGGAUUAGCUAGUAGGUGGGGUAACGGCUCACCUAGGCGACGAUCCCUAGCUGGUCUGAGAGGAUGACCAGCCACACUGGAACUGAGACACGGUCCAGACUCCUACGGGAGGCAGCAGUGGGGAAUAUUGCACAAUGGGCGCAAGCCUGAUACAGCCAUGCCGCGUGUAUGAAGAAGGCCUUCGGGUUGUAAAGUACUUUCAGCGGGGAGGAAGGGAGUAAAGUUAAUACCUUUGCUCAUUGACGUUACCCGCAGAAGAAGCACCGGCUAACUCCGUGCCAGCAGCCGCGGUAAUACGGAGGGUGCAAGCGUUAAUCGGAAUUACUGGGCGUAAAGCGCACGCAGGCGGUUUGUUAAGUCAGAUGUGAAAUCCCCGGGCUCAACCUGGGAACUGCAUCUGAUACUGGCAAGCUUGAGUCUCGUAGAGGGGGGUAGAAUUCCAGGUGUAGCGGUGAAAUGCGUAGAGAUCUGGAGGAAUACCGGUGGCGAAGGCGGCCCCCUGGACGAAGACUGACGCUCAGGUGCGAAAGCGUGGGGAGCAAACAGGAUUAGAUACCCUGGUAGUCCACGCCGUAAACGAUGUCGACUUGGAGGUUGUGCCCUUGAGGCGUGGCUUCCGGAGCUAACGCGUUAAGUCGACCGCCUGGGGAGUACGGCCGCAAGGUUAAAACUCAAAUGAAUUGACGGGGGCCCGCACAAGCGGUGGAGCAUGUGGUUUAAUUCGAUGCAACGCGAAGAACCUUACCUGGUCUUGACAUCCACGGAAGUUUUCAGAGAUGAGAAUGUGCCUUCGGGAACCGUGAGACAGGUGCUGCAUGGCUGUCGUCAGCUCGUGUUGUGAAAUGUUGGGUUAAGUCCCGCAACGAGCGCAACCCUUAUCCUUUGUUGCCAGCGGUCCGGCCGGGAACUCAAAGGAGACUGCCAGUGAUAAACUGGAGGAAGGUGAGGAUGACGUCAAGUCAUCAUGGCCCUUACGACCAGGGCUACACACGUGCUACAAUGGCGCAUACAAAGAGAAGCGACCUCGCGAGAGCAAGCGGACCUCAUAAAGUGCGUCGUAGUCCGGAUUGGAGUCUGCAACUCGACUCCAUGAAGUCGGAAUCGCUAGUAAUCGUGGAUCAGAAUGCCACGGUGAAUACGUUCCCGGGCCUUGUACACACCGCCCGUCACACCAUGGGAGUGGGUUGCAAAAGAAGUAGGUAGCUUAACCUUCGGGAGGGCGCUUACCACUUUGUGAUUCAUGACUGGG
rnacentral:rRNA from 1 species